CAGGUGAGUGCAAUCUUGUGGUCACGUGAGCACAAAGAGCUAAUCACAGGCCACGGGUUUGCGCAGAAUCAGCUGACUAUCUGGAAAUACGUCACCAUGGAAAGAAUCUGUGAUUUGAAAGGUCAUACCAGCCGUGUAUUGGCCAUGUGCCUGUCGCCGGACGGAACCACCGUCGUUUCCGCUGGAGCCGACGAGACGCUCCGAUUCUGGAAUUGUUUCGCUCACCUGAAGAAGACAAAGAAACCAUCCACUAGCUCGAGAAGCAGCGAACCGUCCAAGGCACUGAACACAAGAACCAUAAGAUGAUGUAAUGUUGACAUAAUGUUUAGAUUGUUUCGUGACAUCCAAGGAUUCUAAGAAUGCUUUUAAUGUUUCAUGACAUCCAAGCCAAGGAAUCUAUGAUCAAAGAUAUUUUGACCGAGUAUGGAUGAAUAAUCAAGAUGGACGCCCAAUAAAUAUAUACAGGUGAUUGGCAGGCGUUAUAAUCUCCCAAAGAUUGGUUGAAAUACUUUGAAUCAUGAAGGGGAUUAAAAGGAAGGAGACUUGGUUUGCUUUUAGGUUAUGUAAUUCUGCUCUUAUGACAGCCACAGUGGGGGAAGCAAAGGAAAAAGUCUAAAAGAAAGAUGAAUGCAAAGGAGAAUGAAAGAAGAGGGAAAGCAGAAAACGAAUGGGAAGAAAAAUGACAAGCAAAAAGGGGAGGAGAAAACAAAAGGAAUAGGAUGAAGCAGAGAUGGAGAAGUAGAAGAUGGAAGAAAGAAAGCGAGAUCCCAAAAUCUAUAUACACCUGGAAAAGAUCAUGAAAAAGAGAGUAAAAGUUCAUAAAAGACAUACAAAUGAAUUGCAAUAUUUGGAAAUGUGUAAAAUAACUAUAAUAGUUCUUUUUAAGCAGUUCUUUUUUUAAAACAAAAUUUGUUUUCAUGCACAAAAAAUAUAAAUUGAAAUUGUAUUUUGUUGUUGUAAAAUAGAUAAGUGUUGUGAAUGUCCAUUUGUGUUAUAUAUGUAUCUCCUAUUAAAUUUUAAAGUAACAUCAGCUCAGCUCAUUAAUUAAGUAGAGUGGGGGUGUUGCCACCGGGGGGGGGGGGGGGAUGGGGAUAAAUGUAAAAAAAUAAUAAGCAGGCAAAUAUGGGAUUUGUUUGAAUAUAUAUUUAUGUUUAUUUUAAAGAUCUUACUCAAUGUUGUUUAAAUAUUUGAUUCAUCUAGGGGUGGCCAAAACUGUUAUGACACUGAUGAUGCUGGAACUAAUAUUUACUGCCAAUUCCAGUCGACAUGUCUUGUAGAAAAUGGUCAAGAUAUCUACAUGUACAAUAAUAGCUUUCCUGCAUUCUGAAGAGAUUUACCUUAACAAGAGUACCAAGAAUAUCAAGGGACUAAGGGAUCGAAUUACAUUUGCCUUUCCAGUAAAUUGUUAAUUUUUUAAUGAAAAUAUCGACCUAAAAUAAUAAAUAAUGUAGAAGCGCCCAAAGAUAAUGCUAAAUAAGGUAGAAGCAUUAAAAAAUGUUGAAGACCAUGCAGGUACAUUAUAUUUUGUAAAUCAUACAUGAAAUUUCAAAAAAUAAAAAUGUUUCAAGUGCAAAAUUGUAAGUAGCAAUGAAGAAUUAAUGUACAUGGUGCAUGCAUGUCUUAUAUUGGGCAAUAGAGAUGCACACUAUAUACAAGUACUGUACCCACUACCUAAUCAUCUAAUUUACUGAGGAACUGCAUAAUUUUUAUAACAUUAGUCAUCUAUAUCCUUCGUCUGUGUUUACUUCAAAGAUGUGUGAUAUUUUACUCAUGUAAUAAAUCAAAACUCGUAAAAUGAACAAAUUA